rnacentral:lncRNA from 1 species
UGCAUUUGAUUUUUUAUUUGUUUUAAUUAUUUUUUAUUCAUUUUUAAUCAGAACAAUAAUGUUAAAUAAAUUAGAGUAAAAUAAAAUGCAAGUGGGUAGUUUUCGAUUUUAAAAUAAUUUGCAAAAAACCCUAAAAGUUACUAUAAGAGCUUAACAUGAGGCCAAUGCAAAAAGGGAUAGUCGUUCACUCUCAUUCAUCACAAACUCUCAACCAAAUAAAAAUAAUAAUAACAAAAAAGAA